AACGAACGCUGGCGGCAUGCCUAACACAUGCAAGUCGAACGAGACCUUCGGGUCUAGUGGCGCACGGGUGCGUAACGCGUGGGAAUCUGCCCUUGGGUUCGGAAUAACAGUUAGAAAUGACUGCUAAUACCGGAUAAUGUCUUCGGACCAAAGAUUUAUCGCCCAGGGAUGAGCCCGCGUAGGAUUAGCUAGUUGGUGAGGUAAAGGCUCACCAAGGCGACGAUCCUUAGCUGGUCUGAGAGGAUGAUCAGCCACACUGGGACUGAGACACGGCCCAGACUCCUACGGGAGGCAGCAGUGGGGAAUAUUGGACAAUGGCGAAAGCCUGAUCCAGCAAUGCCGCGUGAGUGAUGAAGGCCUUAGGGUUGUAAAGCUCUUUUACCCGGGAUGAUAAUGACAGUACCGGGAGAAUAAGCUCCGGCUAAACUCCGUGCCAGCAGCCGCGGU
rnacentral:rRNA from 1 species